rnacentral:rRNA from 1 species
CGUCUCAAACAUUAAGCCAUGCAUGUCUAAGUAUAAAUCUCUUACUUUGAAACUGCGAAUGGCUCAUUAUAUAAGUUAUAGUUUAUUUGAUAGUCCCUUACUACUUGGAUAACCGUAGUAAUUCUAGAGCUAAUACAUGCGUACAUACCCUUCUGGGGUAGUAUUUAUUAGAUGGAAACCAACCCCUUCGGGGUGAUGUGGUGAUUCAUAAUAAGCUUGCGGAUCGCACGGCUUUGCUGGCGAUGGAUCAUUCAAGUUUCUUCCCUAUCAGCUUUGGACGGUAAGGUAUUGGCUUACCGUGGCUUUAACGGGUAACGGAAAAUUAGGGUUUGAUUCCGGAGAGGGAGCCUGAGAGGCGGCUACCACAUCCAAGGAAGGCAGCAGGCGCGUAAAUUACCCAAUCUAGAAACUAGGAGGUAGUGACAAUAAAUAACGAUGCCGGGCCUUUAUAGGUCUGGCAAUUGGAAUGAGAGCAAUUUAAACCCCUUAUCGAGGAUCAAUUGGAGGGCAAGUCUGGUGCCAGCAGCCGCGGUAAUUCCAGCUCCAAUAGCGUAUAUUAAAGUUGUUGCAGUUAAAAAGCUCGUAGUU